UACGAGGGGUGCAAGCGUUGCUCGGAAUCAUUGGGCGUAAAGGGUAGGUAGGUGGUCUGAUUUGUCAGGGGUGAAAGCCUUGGGCUUAACCUGAGAAGUGCCCCUGAAACGGUCAGACUGGAGUCUUGGAGAGGGUCGUGGAAUUCCCGGUGUAGCGGUGAAAUGCGUAGAGAUCGGGAGGAACACCAGAGGCGAAGGCGGCGACCUGGACAAGCACUGACACUCAACUACGAAAGCGUGGGGAGCAAACAGG
rnacentral:rRNA from 1 species